AGCGAACGCUGGCGGCAGGCCUAACACAUGCUAGUCGAACGAACUCUUCGGAGUUAGUGGCGGACGGGUGAGUAACACGUGGGAACGUGCCUUUAGGUUCGGAAUAACUCAGGGAAACUUGUGCUAAUACCGAAUGUGCCCUUCGGGGGAAAGAUUUAUCGCCUUUAGAGCGGCCCGCGUCUGAUUAGCUAGUUGGUGAGGUAAAGGCUCACCAAGGCGACGAUCAGUAGCUGGUCUGAGAGGAUGAUCAGCCACAUUGGGACUGAGACACGGCCCAAACUCCUACGGGAGGCAGCAGUGGGGAAUCUUGCGCAAUGGGCGAAAGCCUGACGCAGCCAUGCCGCGUGAAUGAUGAAGGUCUUAGGAUUGUAAAAUUCUUUCACCGGGGACGAUAAUGACGGUACCCGGAGAAGAAGCCCCGGCUAACUUCGUG
rnacentral:rRNA from 1 species